CCUCUUCCCAUCCCGAACAGAGAAGUUAAGCCCGGACGCGCCGAUGGUACUGGUGUCACAGCCGGGAGAGUAGGUGGCCGCCAACC
rfam:Pontibacter ummariensis strain NKM1 genome assembly, contig: Ga0139000_107